rnacentral:rRNA from 1 species
GACAGAGGCCUCGAGCGUUAGGCGGAAUCACUGGGCUUAAAGCGUGUGUAGGCGGAUCGUUAAGUGUCUUGUGAAAUCCCACGGCUCAACCGUGGAACUGCUGGGUAUACUGGCGGUCUUGAGCCACCUAGGGGCAACUGGAACAAGCGGUGGAGCGGUGAAAUGCGUAGAUAUCGCUUGGAACGCCAAUGGUGAAAACAGGUUGCUGGGGGUGUGCUGACGCUGAGACACGAAAGCCAGGGGAGCGAACGGG